rnacentral:rRNA from 1 species
UACGAAGGGGGCUAGCGUUGCUCGGAAUCACUGGGCGUAAAGCGCACGUAGGCGGAUUGCUAAGUCAGGGGUGAAAUCCUGGAGCUCAACUCCAGAACUGCCUUUGAUAACUGGCGAUCUUGGAGUCCGGGAGAGGUGAGUGGAACUGCGAGUGUAGAGGUGAAAUUCGUAGAUAUUCGCAAGAACACCAGUGGCGAAGGCGGCUCACUGGCCCGGUACUGACGCUGAG